rnacentral:lncRNA from 1 species
AGCCCGCAGUGCACGGCCUGCUUCUCAUCUGAAGGCUUUUCUAGCUGCUUUUUACGACAGUUUAUUUUGAAAUAAUUUCAAACAGACAGAAAAGUUCCAAGGUUAGCACAGCGAUGCCCGUCUGUCUUUACCAACGUCCACUCUGUCCUUCACGUGUGCCCCCGUGUGAACACACUCACAGGCACGUGUGCAGCGUCUCCCCUGCACUGCUCGGAGUCAGGUCCACCUCUUAACGCAGACGAGGGCAGUCCUUCUGAAUCACUGUCAGAACGUGACGGCGCCGCUGUCUGGUCUGCACGCAGCUGUCACGGUAACCGCACACGGACCCCGCACCCGUUCACUGCGUGUACAGCCGUGUGGUCACACGAGGACACCGUCACGGUGCCCGGUCGUUGCUGUGCUUACAGUUCUCUCGCGGCCACCCGCGGUGACCUGUGGACACGACGCUGGUCUCUGUAUAUUCAAUCAUCUCGUCGCGUGUGGUCACAUGCGGACACAGCCCCCAGUCUCAGCUGUUACGUCGUCACACGUGCUUACCCGUGGAUGGGGCACCCAGUCACUGUGUGUGCAGUCGUGUCGCCACGUGGACGCGGUGCCUGUCACUGUAUGUACAGGCAUCAGUGGGUACACGUGGUCACCCCUGGACACGGCACCCCAGUCAUUGCACACACACUGGUCAUGUGGACACGGCGUCUGGUCACCUUGUGCACAGCCGUUGCGUGGUCACGCAGAGAUGGCGCCCGGUUGGUGGGUGUGCACGGCUGUCACGUGGUCACGCAGAGAUGGCGCCCGGUGGCCGUGUGUGCAUGGCCGUCGCGUGGUCACGCAGAGAUGGCGGCCGGUCGCCGUGUGUGCACGGCCAUCAUGUGGUCACGCAGAGAUGGCGCCCGGUGGCCGGGUGUGCAGUCGUCAUGAUAACCUCUCAGGGUGCUUUCGCACUCUGCCCGGGGACUUGCGGGGACUCCUGGCUCCUCUGGUCUCCAGCUCCCUGUCUUCCUUACCCAAGGGCCUGCGCUGCUUUCCAGAAGCCUAG